UACGUAGGGUGCGAGCGUUGUCCGGAAUUAUUGGGCGUAAAGAGCUCGUAGGCGGCUUGUCACGUCGGGUGUGAAAGACCGGGGCUUAACUCCGGUUCUGCAUUCGAUACGGGCUAGCUAGAGUGUGGUAGGGGAGAUCGGAAUUCCUGGUGUAGCGGUGAAAUGCGCAGAUAUCAGGAGGAACACCGGUGGCGAAGGCGGAUCUCUGGGCCAUUACUGACGCUGAGGAGCGAAGGCGUGGGGGGCGAACAGG
rnacentral:rRNA from 1 species